AACGAACGCUGGCGGCAUGCCUAACACAUGCGAGUCGAACGAGACCUUCGGGUCUAGUGGCGCACGGGUGCGUAACGCGUGGGAACCUGCCCUUAGGUUCGGAAUAACUCCCCGAAAGGGGUGCUAAUACCGGAUAAUGUCUUCGGACCAAAGAUUUAUCGCCUUUGGAUGGGCCCGCGUUGGAUUAGCUAGUUGGUAGGGUAAAAGCCUACCAAGGCGACGAUCCAUAGCUGGUCUGAGAGGAUGAUCAGCCACACUGGGACUGAGACACGGCCCAGACUCCUACGGGAGGUAGCAGUGGGGAAUAUUGGACAAUGGGCGAAAGCCUGAUCCAGCAAUGCCGCGUGAGUGAUGAAGGCCUUAGGGUUGUAAAGCUCUUUUACCCGGGAUGAUAAUGACAGUACCGGGAGAAUAAGCUCCGGCUAACUCCGUG
rnacentral:rRNA from 1 species